UAGGGAAUCUUCCACAAUGGGCGCAAGCCUGAUGGAGCAACACCGCGUGAGUGAAGAAGGGUUUCGGCUCGUAAAGCUCUGUUGUUAAAGAAGAACACGUAUGAGAGUAACUGUUCAUACGCUGACGGUAUUUAACCAGAAAGUCACGGCUAACUACGUGCAAG
rnacentral:rRNA from 1 species